rnacentral:rRNA from 1 species
CAGUAGCCGCGGGAACACGAAGGGUGCAAGCGUUACUCGGAAUUACUGGGCGUAAAGCGUGCGUAGGUGGUGGUUUAAGUCCGUUGUGAAAGCCCUGGGCUCAACCUGGGAAUUGCAGUGGAUACUGGGUCACUAGAGUGUGGUAGAGGAUAGUGGAAUUUCCGGUGUAGCAGUGAAAUGCGUAGAGAUCGGAAGGAACAUCUGUGGCGAAGGCGACUAUCUGGGCCAACACUGACACUGAGGCACGAAAGCGUGGGGAGCAAACAGGAUUAGAUACCCCAGUAGUCCCUGUCUCUUAUAC